rnacentral:rRNA from 1 species
GAAAGGAGGGCUAAUACCGCAUAACAUCAUGAAGUCUCCGGGUUUCAUGAUCAAAACAGGCCUCUGAUUCAUGCUUGUGCUUCUGGAGGGACCCGCGCCCCAUUAGCUUGUUGGUGAGGUAACGGCUCACCAAGGCUCCGAUGGGUAGCCGGCCUGAGAGGGCGAUCGGCCACACUGGAACUUAGACACGGUCCAGACUCCUACGGGAGGCAGCAGUGAGGAAUAUUGCGCAAUGGGCGAAAGCCUGACGCAGCGACGCCGCGUGGAGGAUGAAGGCCUUCGGGUUGUAAACUCCUGUCAGGAGGGACGAACGUCAACAGGCUGAAUAAUCCUGUUGGUUGACGGUACCUCCAAAGGAAGCCCCGGCUAACUCCGUGCCAGCAGCCGCGGUAAUACGGAGGGGGCCAGCGUUGUUCGGAAUUAUUGGGCGUAAAGGGCGCGUAGGCUGCUUUGCAAGUCGAAGGUGAAAUCCCUCAGCUCAACUGAGGAACUGCCUCCGAUACUACAAGGCUUGAGUCCCGGAGAGGGUAGCGGAAUUCCCAGUGUAGCGGUGAAA